CAGAGUUACAAAACUCCCAAACCCUUGUGAACCUACCUGUACGUCGUUGCUUCGGCGGGUAGCCCCACACCGGGGCCGUGCCUCCUAGCGAGGUGCCCGCCGGAGGACCACUUUAAAACUCUCGCAAUUUGUGGCCUCUCUGAGUAUUAUAUAAAUAAGUCA
rnacentral:misc_RNA from 1 species